rnacentral:rRNA from 1 species
UACGUAGGAGACAAGCGUUGUCCGGAAUUACUGGGUGUAAAGCGCGUGUAGGUGGUAGGCCAAGUCUGCUGUGAAAUCGCCCGGCUUAACUGGGCGCGGUCGGUGGAAACUGGUCAACUGGAGGACGGUAGAGGCGAGUGGAAUUCCCGGUGUAGUGGUGAAAUGCGUAGAGAUCGGGAGGAACACCAGUGGCGAAGGCGGCUCGCUGGGCCGGUCCUGACACUGAGACGCGAAGGCGUGGGGAGCGAACGGG